GCGAGGCGCGCGCGUGGGAAAUCGCGGGGGUAUAGCCCACGCGGGCACGCCGCAGGCCCCUACCGCGCCAAUUGAGAGAGAAGGGAAGAGAGGAGAGGGGGGAAGAGAGGAGGGGGCCGGCGGGACCUGAAAUCCGGCGGGGGGAGCUACAAUCCGGCGGCGCGGCUCCUCCACCAGCCACUCCCGCUUCCACGACUGCUACUCCAUGCCUCCACAGCCUCCAAUCGGAGCUCCGCCCGGCCGUCGAUUGGAGCAAAUUGUGGCUGCCUGGCGGGUUCCCCUGCUCCUCCUCUUCACGUGGCUCUGCCCCUUUGCUUCCUCUGCUGUUAAAAAUGCCUAAUCGCUUAGGUUUGUGCUGCUCAAUUCUAAAUGGGGAUAUGUGUAUGGCGUCGCCUCGCCGCGCGCCUUAUUCGCCUAGGCGUCCAGAAGGGGGUGGGUCGCCGCGCCUCGCCUUACCGCCGUAAAAACAAUGCUAUAGCCUACCCCAACUUUCUUGGGAAUGAAGGCUUUGUUCUUGUGGAGUUGUGGUGGUGGUGGUGGUUUAUUGAAUCCCAACCAGGUCCUAGAAAUCUAGCGAAACAGGUGAGUUUAUGUUGGGAUAUGAACCCUGAGCACAAUUUCUUUGUAGUCAUUAAAAAAAAGGAGGAAAGGUGAUAUACAAUAGGUUUCACGUAAGAAAAUUAUCGCAAGUAUUAACAUACUGUUAACAGCAAAAAAGAGUGAAUUCAAUUGAAGAUUAUUUUGUACGUGUGGAUUGAAAAUAGAACCUUUGGGAGUAGGGAAGCUUCAUAUGCAUAGAAUGUGGCGGGAAUUUAAAACUAAGGGGAAAUUUAAAUGAUGUUACAACUUA